GGCCUCGUAGCUCAGAUAGUAGAGCAUGCGCGUACUAAGCGUAGGCGGCGUCCAUGAGUGGGUUCGAUUCCCGCCGAGGCUA
rfam:Echinostoma caproni strain Egypt genome assembly, scaffold: ECPE_scaffold0000754